rnacentral:rRNA from 1 species
GACGAACGCUGGCGGCGUGCCUAAUACAUGCAAGUAGAACGCACAGUUUAUACCGUAGCUUGCUACACCAUAGACUGUGAGUUGCGAACGGGUGAGUAACGCGUAGGUAACCUGCCUGGUAGCGGGGGGUAACUAUAGGAAACGAUAGCUAAUACCGCAUAAUAUUGAUUAUUGCAUGAUAAUUAAUUGAAAGGUGCAAUUGCACCACUACCAGAUGGACCUGCGUUGUAUUAGCUAGUAGGUGAGGUAACGGCCCACCCAGGCGACGAUACAUAGCCGGCCUUGGAGGGGGGUCGGCCAACCUGGGACUGGGACACGGCUCCGACCUCUUCCGGGGGCAACAGUAGGGGAUCUUUGGCAAUUGACGGAAGUCUGACCGCGGAACGCCCGGGUGGUGAAGGAGGGUUUCGGAUCGUUAAACUCUUUUUUUUGAGAAGAACGGGUGUGAGAGUGGAAAGUUCACACUGUGACGGUACCUUACCAGAAAGGGCCGGCUAACUACGUG